UACGGAGGGUGCAAGCGUUAAUCGGAAUUACUGGGCGUAAAGCGUGCGUAGGUGGUUUGUUAAGUCCGUUGUGAAAGCCCCGAGCUCAACUUGGGAAUUGCAGUGGAUACUGGUAAGCUGGAGUGCGGUAGAGGAAGGUGGAAUUCCCGGUGUAGCGGUGAAAUGCGUAGAGAUCGGGAGGAACACCAGUGGCGAAGGCGGCCUUCUGGACCAGCACUGACACUCAAGCACGAAAGCGUGGGGAGCAAACAGG
rnacentral:rRNA from 1 species